rfam:Thielaviopsis punctulata NODE_1530, whole genome shotgun sequence.
CCCUUAGUCAAGCCGCAGAGCGCUGGAUUAGUAGUACGGUGGGUGACCACGUGCGAAUACCCGGUGUUGUAUGUU